AUUGAACGCUGGCGGCAGGCCUAACACAUGCAAGUCGAGCGAGCGGCGGACGGGUGAGUAAUGUAUGGGGACCGCCCUAUCGAGGGGGAUAACAACUGGAAACGGAAGCUAAUUUAGUACACUAUCGGAUAGGACAUAUGGGAUUAGCUAGUAGGUGGGGUAAUGGCUCACCUUGGCGACGAUCCCUAGCUGGUCUGUGAGGAUGAUCAGCCACACUGGGACUGAGACACGGCCCAGACUCCUACGGAGGCAGCAGUGGAGAAUAUUGCACAAUGGGCGCAAGCCUGAUGCAGCCAUGCCGCGUGUAUGAAGAAGGCCCUAGGGUUGUAAAGUACUUUCAGUCGGGAGGCGUUACCGACAGAAGAAGCACCGGCUAACUCCGUGCCAGCAGCCGCGGUAAUUC
rnacentral:rRNA from 1 species